GACGUUCAAAUGUGUGGUCCAUUUGUGAACUGGCGUUGUUCAGUCUCGGCUGUAGCAAAGGGCUAAUGUAUUUCAGAAGAAAGAGUGAGAUGCCCUGAAAAAUUCUCGUCAAGGAACUUCAUGGAAGAGAGUUUAUUUCGGGUAUAUUGAGGGCAACACAGUGCGGGAUUUUUAAACACCGUCUAUAACACUUCUUAACGAUUGGAGGAUUGGAACGAGGAAUUCAACAGAUAGCUGUCGCAGAAUUUUGAGCAACCUCUUUCUUCAAAAUCUCAAUUUGGACCCCAUGACCCCCUCCCCAUGACAAAUCAAUCCUAGAAUAUCCAAGGAUCAUACAAUUAAUUGCAGGUGCUGUCCGAAGUAAAUUCCCUGACUUCACACAAGCAUUAGUAGGAGAUUAUGUAAAAAAGUGGCUGAGAUAUGUUGGAGACGGAGAAGUUGAUAGAGAGGAAAGAAGAAGAAUUCUGAAGAAUAAUGCUGAAUGAAAUAAAUUUUGCAAUGCUAUCAUAUUAUUACUACUAUUUAAAAUACUAUUGGUAAA